rnacentral:rRNA from 1 species
AUACGUAGGGUGCAAGCGUUAAUCGGAAUUACUGGGCGUAAAGCGUGCGCAGGCGGUUUUGUAAGACAGAGGUGAAAUCCCCGGGCUCAACCUGGGAACUGCCUUUGUGACUGCAAGGCUAGAGUACGGCAGAGGGGGAUGGAAUUCCGCGUGUAGCAGUGAAAUGCGUAGAUAUGCGGUGGAACACCGAUUGCGAAGGCACUCCCCUGGGCCUGUACUAACGCUCAUGCACGAAAGCGUGGGGGACAAACAGGAUUUGAGACCCUGGUAGUCCACGCACUAAACGAUGUCAACUGGUUGUUGGGUCUUCAGUGACUCCGUAACGAAGCUAACGCGUGAAGUUGAACGCCUGGGGAGUUCGGUAGCAAGGUUGAAACUUAAACGAAUUGACGGGG